rnacentral:rRNA from 11 species
AAGACCGUACCCCAAACCGACACAGGUGGUCAGGUAGAGAAUACCAAGGCGCUUGAGAGAACUAUGUUGAAGGAACUCGGCAAAUUGCACGCGUAACUUCGGAAGAAGCGUGACCUGUAUUUACGCAAGUAGAUAUAGGUGGCACAGACCAGGGGGUAGCGACUGUUUAUCAAAAACACAGGGCUCUGCAAAAUCGAAAGAUGAAGUAUAGGGCCUGACACCUGCCCGGUGCUGG